GAGAGGAACUUGUUCCUCGAGUCGUUGAUUUCACACUGCCGAGAAAAGCCUCUAGCUAGAAUAACGGUGCCCGUACCGCAAACCGACACAGGUAGUCAAGAUGAGAAUUCUAAGGUGAGCGAGCGAACUCUCGUUAAGGAACUCGGCAAAAUGACCCCGUAACUUCGGGAGAAGGGGUGCUCUUUGAGGUUCACGCUUCGAAGAGCCGCAGUGAAUAGGCCCAAGCGACUGUUUAUCAAAAACACAGGUCUCUGCUAAACCGUAAGGUGACGUAUAGGGGCUGACGCCUGCCCGGUGCUGGAAGGUUAAGAGGAGUGGUUAGCGCAAGCGAAGCUACGAAUCGAAGCCCCAGUAAACGGCGGCCGUAACUAUAACGGUCCUAAGGUAGCGAAAUUCCUUGUCGGGUAAGUUCCGACCCGCACGAAAGGCGUAACGAUUUGGGCACUGUCUCAACGAGAGACUCGGUGAAAUCAUAGUACCGGUGAAGAUGCCGGUUACCCGCGACAGGACGGAAAGACCCCGUGGAGCUUUACUGUAGCCUGAUAUUGAAAUUCGGUACAGUUUGUACAGGAUAGGUAGGAGCCUUAGAAGCGUGAGCGCUAGCUUACGUGGAGGCAUUGGUGGGAUACUACCCUAAUUGUAUUGGAUUUCUAACCCGCAGCACUUAUCGUGCUGGGAGACAGUGUCAGGCGGGCAGUUUGACUGGGGCGGUCGCCUCCUAAAGAGUAACGGAGGCGCUCAAAGGUUCCCUCAGAAUGGUUGGAAAUCAUUCAUAGAGUGUAAAGGCAUAAGGGAGCUUGACUGCGAGACCUACAAGUCGAGCAGGGUCGAAAGACGGACUUAGUGAUCCGGUGGUUCCGCAUGGAAGGGCCAUCGCUCAACGGAUAAAAGCUACCCCGGGGAUAACAGGCUUAUCUCCCCCAAGAGUUCACAUCGACGGGGAGGUUUGGCACCUCGAUGUCGGCUCAUCGCAUCCUGGGGCUGUAGUCGGUCCCAAGGGUUGGGCUGUUCGCCCAUUAAAGCGGUACGCGAGCUGGGUUCAGAACGUCGUGAGACAGUUCGGUCCCUAUCCGUCGUGGGCGUAGGAAAUUUGAGAGGAGCUGUCCUUAGUACGAGAGGACCGGGAUGGACAUACCUCUGGUGUACCAGUUGUCGUGCCAACGGCAUAGCUGGGUAGCUAUGUAUGGACGGGAUAAGUGCUGAAAGCAUCUAAGCAUGAAGCCCCCCUCGAGAUGAGAUUUCCCAACUUCGGUUAUAAGAUCCCUCAAAGAUGAUGAGGUGAAU
rnacentral:rRNA from 1 species